rnacentral:tRNA from 6 species
AGCUCUGGGGUGUAAACAUGUAAGAUUGCAAAUCUUGAGAUGCAGAUUGACGUCUGCCGGGGCUU